UCGGGUUGUCAUGCCAAUGGCACUGCCCGGUAGCUAAAUGCGGAAGAGAUAAGUGCUGAAAGCAUCUAAGCACGAAACUUGCCCCGAGAUGAGUUCUCCCUGACUCCUUGAGAGUCCUGAAGGAACGUUGAAGACGACGACGUUGAUAGGCCGGGUGUGUAAGCGCAGCGAUGCGUUGAGCUAACCGGUACUAAUGAACCGUGAGG
rnacentral:rRNA from 1 species